rnacentral:rRNA from 1 species
GACGAACGCUGGCGGCGUGCUUAACACAUGCAAGUCGAACGGAAAGGCCCUGCUUUUGUGGGGUGCUCGAGUGGCGAACGGGUGAGUAACACGUGAGUAACCUGCCCUUGACUUUGGGAUAACUUCAGGAAACUGGGGCUAAUACCGGAUAGGAGCUCCUGCUGCAUGGUGGGGGUUGGAAAGUUUCGGCGGUUGGGGAUGGACUCGCGGCUUAUCAGCUUGUUGGUGUGGUAGUGGCUUACCAAGGCUUUGACGGGUAGCCGGCCUGAGAGGGUGACCGGCCACAUUGGGACUGAGCUACGGCCCAGACUCCUACGGGAGGCAGCAGUGGGGAAUAUUGCACAAUGGGCGGAAGCCUGAUGCAGCACCGCCGCGUGCGGGAUGACGGCCUUCGGGUUGUAAACCGCUUUCGCCUGUGACGAAGCGUGAGUGACGGUAAUGGGUAAAGAAGCACCGGCUAACUACGUG